GACAGAGGGUGCAAACGUUGUUCGGAAUUACUGGGCGUAAAGCGCGUGUAGGCUGCUUCGCAAGUCGGAUGUGAAAGCCCUGGGCUCAACCCAGGAAGUGCAUUCGAAACUGCAGAGCUGGAGUCCUGGAGAGGAAGGCGGAAUUCUCGGUGUAGAGGUGAAAUUCGUAGAUAUCGAGAGGAACACCAGCGGCGAAGGCGGCGACCUGGACAGGUACUGACACUCAACUACGAAAGCGUGGGGAGCAAACAGG
rnacentral:rRNA from 1 species